rnacentral:rRNA from 1 species
GACGAACGCUGGCGGCGUGCCUAAUACAUGCAAGUCGAACGCACUGGGGACGCGUGAUUAACACGUGGGUAACCUCCCAUCAGAGGGGAUAACACUUGGAAACAGGUGCUAAACCGCUACUGCUGGAUGGACCCGCGGUGCAUUAGCUAGUGGGUGGGGUAACGGCUCACCAAGGCCACGAUGCAUAGCCGACCUGAGAGGGUGAGCGGCCACACUGGGACUGAGACACGGCCCAGACUCCGACGGGAGGCAGCAGUAGGGAAUCUUCGGCAAUGGACGAAAGUCUGACCGAGCAACGCCGCUUGAGUGAAGAAGGUUUUCGGAUCGUAAAACUCUGUUGUUAGAGAAGCGGUAUCUAACCAGAAAGCCACGGCUAACUACGUGCCAGCAGCCGCGGUAAUAC